UCAGAUGUUAAAUUUGACGCAUGGUGAAUCCCCCUGUGCGGAGGGGUGUAAGACAGUCUGUUGUCUCUGUGGCUUACACGGGCAGGUGCAUAGUUGCCCGACUGCCCACCGGGAGGCACCCGGCAUCAUACAUAACAACUAUAAAACUAACCCUGAUUUAUGACCUGUCCCGUGGCAGGUUUUUUUUAUGGU
rnacentral:sRNA from 1 species